UACAGAGGUCUCAAGCGUUGUUCGGAUUCAUUGGGCGUAAAGGGUGCGUAGGUGGCGCUGUAAGUCAGGUGUGAAAUCUCGGGGCUUAACUCCGAAACUGCAUUUGAUACUGCGGUGCUUGAGGACUGGAGAGGAGACUGGAAUUCAUGGUGUAGCAGUGAAAUGCGCAGAUAUCAGGAGGAACACCGGUGGCGAAGGCGGGACUCUGGGCCGAUACUGACGCUGAGGAGCGAAAGCGUGGGGAGCGAACAGG
rnacentral:rRNA from 1 species